GUAGAAAGAGUCAGGAAAGGCAGGGGAGAGAGAGGGGAUGAUAUGCAGCAAAUGGUCCGGGGCUGGAUUCAAACCCUGAUCUGCUGCGGUAAGGUCUUGUUAUGACACAUUUCACCUUGAUCAAAACAUUGCAGCUCCUGAAUAUUGCAAUUUGCCAUUUUGUGAUGUCUAUAAUAUUUCGAUCAAUUGUUGAGCCCUAACUUAAAUUAUGUUGGAGUAUUUACAUAUCAUUCUGUCAUUUAUUUCCUUUCUUUAACUUUUGUCCCUCUUUUCACUCAUACCAUCUCCUGUCCAAUCUCUUGCAAUGUAUUUGGUCAGAUCACUUUGGAAGAUCUUGACAGUGAUGAUGAGACUCCACAACACCAGAAGAAGGAAUCUGUCCUCACCCUAAUGAACCCAACUGCCUUGGAUUAUGCCCAAAGGUGUGAGGGCUAUAAGAAACUCACAAGGACUGUGAUGGACUCUGUCUUCACUGUGGAGGAGAUGGCAACGUGCUCCGUCACGGGGGAAAAAAGGGAUUGUGGGUGUGUGAAAAAAGACAGCGGCUUGAUGUGGACAAAGUGAAGUCAGUCAUUGACCAUAUCAAAAGUGUUCAC